AAUAAAGUUUUAAUCCUUUUAUUUCUUUGAACCGUGUCUCUACACAGAUGAAACUAGAUAGUGAGAGACCCGUGUCAAAAUUCUAUUGCUUGCGUUUGGUUUUUUUUUUUUUUCUUUCUGCAUUUGUCUCUCUCUCUCUCUUUCCACACAAACGAAAAGUGGAAAGCAAAAAUCAAUUUUUCAAAAUCUGAUUCACAACCCAAUCGAAGUUCCCGUCGAUCUCGAAGUUCGUUUUGGUUUAUAGGCCUCAAUCUCUGAAUCUGCGUUAGAAAAGCUAAGCAAGAGCAGUCAAUUCCAUGGCGGUUUGCAUAUGGACUUGCUCUGCCACUAGGGAGUGAUGAUGGUGUUCAACCUCCGGAGAAUACCAAAAUUAGAACUUGUCAAGUUGGACAUGAGGAAUUUAGUGGUUUGAGUUAUCAAAAGUUGGACUAGGCUAGAAAAACAAAAUUAUAAGAUAAGAUGUAUUGAUUACUAGUUAGUUUUUAAAUCGUGGUGUAAUGAGAUAGAAAAAACCUACUUUUGUUGUUAUUAGACUUUGAGGACUCUCAAAACUAGUAGCAAUUGUUUAAAUUUAAGCAUGUGCAUGUAUUUACUAUUUUAUUGAGGACUGAUUAUUAAUUUAGACAAA